rnacentral:rRNA from 1 species
GAUGAACGCUGGCGGCGUGCCUAAUACAUGCAAGUCGAGCGAACAGAUAAGGAGCUUGCUCCUUUGACGUUAGCGGCGGACGGGUGAGUAACACGUGGGUAACCUACCUAUAAGACUGGAAUAACUCCGGGGAACCGGGGCUAAUGCCGGAUAAUAUUUAGAACCGCAUGGUUCUAAAGUGAAAGAUGGUUUUACUAUCACUUAUAGAUGGACCCGCGCCGUAUUAGCUAGUUGGUGGGGUAAUGGCUUACCAAGGCAACGAUACGUAGCCGACCUGAGAGGGUGAUCGGCCACACUGGAACUGAGACACGGUCCAGACUCCUACGGGAGGCAGCAGUAGGGAAUCUUCCGCAAUGGGCGAAAGCCUGACGGAGCAACGCCGCGUGAGUGAUGAAGGUCUUCGGAUCGUAAAACUCUGUUAUUAGGGAAGAACAAAUGUGUAAGUAACUGUGCACGUCUUGACGGUACCUAAUCAGAAAGCCACGGCUAACUACGUGCCAGCCGCCGCCGUAA